rnacentral:misc_RNA from 1 species
GAUGCAGAACGCAGCGAAAUGCGAUACGUAAUGUGAAUUGCAGAAUUCAGUGAAUCAUCGAGUCUUUGAACGCACAUUGCGCCCCCUGGUAUUCCGGGGGGCAUGCCUGUCCGAGCGUCAUUGCUGCCCUCAAGCACGGCUUGUGUGUUGGGCCUCCGUCCUCCUCCCGGGGGACGGGCCCGAAAGGCAGCGGCGGCACCGCGUCCGGUCCUCGAGCGUAUGGGGCUUCGUCACCCGCUCUUGUAGGCCCGGCCGGCGCUUGCCGACACAUCAAUCUUUUUUCCAGGUUGACCUCGGAUCAGGUAGGGAUACCCGCUGAACUUAAGCAUAUCAAUAAGCGGAGGA